AUACGAAGGGGGCUAGCGUUGUUCGGAAUUACUGGGCGUAAAGCGCGCGUAGGCGGAUUGGUCAGUUAGGGGUGAAAUCCCAGGGCUUAACCCUGGAACUGCCUCUAAUACUGCCAGUCUUGAGUUCGGGAGAGGUGAGUGGAAUUCCUAGUGUAGAGGUAAAAUUCGUAGAUAUUAGGAAGAACACCAGUGGCGAAGGCGGCUCACUGGCCCGAUACUGACGCUGAGGCGCGAAAGCGUGGGGAGCAAACAGGAUUAGAAACCCUAGUAGUCC
rnacentral:rRNA from 1 species